rnacentral:rRNA from 1 species
GGACGAACGCUGGCGGCGUGCUUAACACAUGCAAGUCGAGCGGUAAGGCCCUUUCGGGGGUACACGAGCGGCGAACGGGUGAGUAACACGUGGGUGACCUGCCCUCAGCUCUGGGAUAAGCCGUGGGAAACCGGGGUCUAAUACCGGAUAUGACUCCAUGACGCAUGUUGUGGGGUGGAAAGCCUUGUGCGGCUGAGGAUCGGGCCCGCGGCCUAUCAGCUUGUUGAUGGGGGAUGGCCUACCAAGGCGACGACGGGUAGCCGGCCUGAGA